rnacentral:lncRNA from 1 species
ACUGCCCUGUUCUUGGGUCCUGCCUGUGAAUUCUAGGGACUCAAGUCCAAUUUGCUCUUAUGUCCUGGAGGGAUUUCCAGCUGUGAUUCCCGGAAGAAGCGGGUGGUGGGUUUUACCUGCGUGACUCCAGAGGUCGUGUUACUUCAUCCCAGGCACUGCACCUGUCCCCUGGAUCUGAUUUGCUUCUCAUUUGUCUGUGCCCUGCCUCUGGCUACUGGGGACUGUAGACAGUGAGAGGCGUAGGGAAGCUCAGGCUGAGAAUGGAGCCAUUUCCCAGCAUCACCCUCACUCUCAGGAAAGGGUGUGGAGCUCUAGAGAAUGGUGGUGGGGGGGCCAUCUGACGGAAAGCUGUCCUUGCUCUGGUGAGACAUCUCUGACCUUUGGGAACCAGCCCUCCUCAACUAUCAUCCUACCUGGGGCACAUAGCCCAGGCCAGGCCCAUACAUCACACACAUGCGACCACAGUACCUGGCACCUGGCUCAGGG